AGAGUUUGAUCCUGGCUCAGGAUGAACGCUGGCGGCGUGCCUAAUACAUGCAAGUCGAGCGAACGGACGAGAAGCUUGCUUCUCUGAUGUUAGCGGCGGACGGGUGAGUAACACGUGGAUAACCUACCUAUAAGACUGGGAUAACUUCGGGAAACCGGAGCUAAUACCGGAUAAUAUUUUGAACCGCAUGGUUCAAAAGUGAAAGACGGUCUUGCUGUCACUUAUAGAUGGAUCCGCGCUGCAUUAGCUAGUUGGUAAGGUAACGGCUUACCAAGGCAACGAUGCAUAGCCGACCUGAGAGGGUGAUCGGCCACACUGGAACUGAGACACGGUCCAGACUCCUACGGGAGGCAGCAGUAGGGAAUCUUCCGCAAUGGGCGAAAGCCUGACGGAGCAACGCCGCGUGAGUGAUGAAGGUCUUCGGAUCGUAAAACUCUGUUAUUAGGGAAGAACAUAUGUGUAAGUAACUGUGCACAUCUUGACGGUACCUAAUCAGAAAGCCACGGCUAACUACGUGCCAGCAGCCGCGGUAAUACGUAGGUGGCAAGCGUUAUCCGGAAUUAUUGGGCGUAAAGCGCGCGUAGGCGGUUUUUUAAGUCUGAUGUGAAAGCCCACGGCUCAACCGUGGAGGGUCAUUGGAAACUGGAAAACUUGAGUGCAGAAGAGGAAAGUGGAAUUCCAUGUGUAGCGGUGAAAUGCGCAGAGAUAUGGAGGAACACCAGUGGCGAAGGCGACUUUCUGGUCUGUAACUGACGCUGAUGUGCGAAAGCGUGGGGAUCAAACAGGAUUAGAUACCCUGGUAGUCCACGCCGUAAACGAUGAGUGCUAAGUGUUAGGGGGUUUCCGCCCCUUAGUGCUGCAGCUAACGCAUUAAGCACUCCGCCUGGGGAGUACGACCGCAAGGUUGAAACUCAAAGGAAUUGACGGGGACCCGCACAAGCGGUGGAGCAUGUGGUUUAAUUCGAAGCAACGCGAAGAACCUUACCAAAUCUUGACAUCCUUUGACAACUCUAGAGAUAGAGCUUUCCCCUUCGGGGACAAAGUGACAGGUGGUGCAUGGUUGUCGUCAGCUCGUGUCGUGAGAUGUUGGGUUAAGUCCCGCAACGAGCGCAACCCUUAAGCUUAGUUGCCAUCAUUAAGUUGGGCACUCUAAGUUGACUGCCGGUGACAAACCGGAGGAAGGUGGGGAUGACGUCAAAUCAUCAUGCCCCUUAUGAUUUGGGCUACACACGUGCUACAAUGGACAAUACAAAGGGCAGCGAAACCGUGAGGUCAAGCAAAUCCCAUAAAGUUGUUCUCAGUUCGGAUUGUAGUCUGCAACUCGACUACAUGAAGCUGGAAUCGCUAGUAAUCGUAGAUCAGCAUGCUACGGUGAAUACGUUCCCGGGUCUUGUACACACCGCCCGUCACACCACGAGAGUUUGUAACACCCGAAGCCGGUGGAGUAACCUUUUAGGAGCUAGCCGUCGAAGGUGGGACAAAUGAUUGGGGUGAAGUCGUAACAAGGUAGCCGUAUCGGAAGGUGCGGCUGGAUCACCU
rnacentral:rRNA from 1 species